rnacentral:rRNA from 1 species
GGGUUGUGAGGUUAAGCGACUAAGCGUACACGGUGGAUGCCCUGGCAGUCAGAGGCGAUGAAGGACGUGCUAAUCUGCGAUAAGCGUCGGUAAGGUGAUAUGAACCGUUAUAACCGGCGAUUUCCGAAUGGGGAAACCCAGUGUGAUUCGUCACACUAUCAUUAACUGAAUCCAUAGGUUAAUGAGGCGAACCGGGGGAACUGAAACAUCUAAGUACCCCGAGGAAAAGAAAUCAACCGAGAUUCCCCCAGUAGCGGCGAGCGAACGGGGAGGAGCCCAGAGCCUGAAUCAGUGUGUGUGUUAGUGGAAGCGUCUGGAAAGGCGCGCGAUACAGGGUGACAGCCCCGUACACAAAAAUGCACAUGCUGUGAGCUCGAUGAGUAGGGCGGGACACGUGGUAUCCUGUCUGAAUAUGGGGGGACCAUCCUCCAAGGCUAAAUACUCCUGACUGACCGAUAGUGAACCAGUACCGUGAGGGAAAGGCGAAAAGAACCCCGGCGAGGGGAGUGAAAAAGAACCUGAAACCGUGUACGUACAAGCAGUGGGAGCACAGAGCAAUCUGUGUGACUGCGUACCUUUUGUAUAAUGGGUCAGCGACUUAUAUUCUGUAGCAAGGUUAACCGAAUAGGGGAGCCGAAGGGAAACCGAGUCUUAACCGGGCGUUAAGUUGCAGGGUAUAGACCCGAAACCCGGUGAUCUAGCCAUGGGCAGGUUGAAGGUUGGGUAACACUAACUGGAGGACCGAACCGACUAAUGUUGAAAAAUUAGCGGAUGACUUGUGGCUGGGGGUGAAAGGCCAAUCAAACCGGGAGAUAGCUGGUUCUCCCCGAAAGCUAUUUAGGUAGCGCCUCGUGAAUUCAUCUCCGGGGGUAGAGCACUGUUUCGGCAAGGGGGUCAUCCCGACUUACCAACCCGAUGCAAACUGCGAAUACCGGAGAAUGUUAUCACGGGAGACACACGGCGGGUGCUAACGUCCGUCGUGAAGAGGGAAACAACCCAGACCGCCAGCUAAGGUCCCAAAGUCAUGGUUAAGUGGGAAACGAUGUGGGAAGGCCCAGACAGCCAGGAUGUUGGCUUAGAAGCAGCCAUCAUUUAAAGAAAGCGUAAUAGCUCACUGGUCGAGUCGGCCUGCGCGGAAGAUGUAACGGGGCUAAACCAUGCACCGAAGCUGCGGCAGCGACACUGUGUGUUGUUGGGUAGGGGAGCGUUCUGUAAGCCUGUGAAGGUGUGCUGUGAGGCAUGCUGGAGGUAUCAGAAGUGCGAAUGCUGACAUAAGUAACGAUAAAGCGGGUGAAAAGCCCGCUCGCCGGAAGACCAAGGGUUCCUGUCCAACGUUAAUCGGGGCAGGGUGAGUCGACCCCUAAGGCGAGGCCGAAAGGCGUAGUCGAUGGGAAACAGGUUAAUAUUCCUGUACUUGGUGUUACUGCGAAGGGGGGACGGAGAAGGCUAUGUUGGCCGGGCGACGGUUGUCCCGGUUUAAGCGUGUAGGCUGGUUUUCCAGGCAAAUCCGGAAAAUCAAGGCUGAGGCGUGAUGACGAGGCACUACGGUGCUGAAGCAACAAAUGCCCUGCUUCCAGGAAAAGCCUCUAAGCAUCAGGUAACAUCAAAUCGUACCCCAAACCGACACAGGUGGUCAGGUAGAGAAUACCAAGGCGCUUGAGAGAACUCGGGUGAAGGAACUAGGCAAAAUGGUGCCGUAACUUCGGGAGAAGGCACGCUGAUAUGUAGGUGAAGUCCCUCGCGGAUGGAGCUGAAAUCAGUCGAAGAUACCAGCUGGCUGCAACUGUUUAUUAAAAACACAGCACUGUGCAAACACGAAAGUGGACGUAUACGGUGUGACGCCUGCCCGGUGCCGGAAGGUUAAUUGAUGGGGUCAGCGCAAGCGAAGCUCUUGAUCGAAGCCCCGGUAAACGGCGGCCGUAACUAUAACGGUCCUAAGGUAGCGAAAUUCCUUGUCGGGUAAGUUCCGACCUGCACGAAUGGCGUAAUGAUGGCUAGGCUGUCUCCACCCGAGACUCAGUGAAAUUGAACUCGCUGUGAAGAUGCAGUGUACCCGCGGCAAGACGGAAAGACCCCGUGAACCUUUACUAUAGCUUGACACUGAACAUUGAGCCUUGAUGUGUAGGAUAGGUGGGAGGCUUUGAAGUGUGGACGCCAGUCUGCAUGGAGCCGACCUUGAAAUACCACCCUUUAAUGUUUGAUGUUCUAACGUGGACCCGUGAUCCGGGUUGCGGACAGUGUCUGGUGGGUAGUUUGACUGGGGCGGUCUCCUCCUAAAGAGUAACGGAGGAGCACGAAGGUUGGCUAAUCCUGGUCGGACAUCAGGAGGUUAGUGCAAUGGCAUAAGCCAGCUUGACUGCGAGCGUGACGGCGCGAGCAGGUGCGAAAGCAGGUCAUAGUGAUCCGGUGGUUCUGAAUGGAAGGGCCAUCGCUCAACGGAUAAAAGGUACUCCGGGGAUAACAGGCUGAUACCGCCCAAGAGUUCAUAUCGACGGCGGUGUUUGGCACCUCGAUGUCGGCUCAUCACAUCCUGGGGCUGAAGUAGGUCCCAAGGGUAUGGCUGUUCGCCAUUUAAAGUGGUACGCGAGCUGGGUUUAGAACGUCGUGAGACAGUUCGGUCCCUAUCUGCCGUGGGCGCUGGAGAACUGAGGGGGGCUGCUCCUAGUACGAGAGGACCGGAGUGGACGCAUCACUGGUGUUCGGGUUGUCAUGCCAAUGGCACUGCCCGGUAGCUAAAUGCGGAAGAGAUAAGUGCUGAAAGCAUCUAAGCACGAAACUUGCCCCGAGAUGAGUUCUCCCUGACCCUUUAAGGGUCCUGAAGGAACGUUGAAGACGACGACGUUGAUAGGCCGGGUGUGUAAGCGCAGCGAUGCGUUGAGCUAACCGGUACUAAUGAACCGUGAGGCUUAACCUUACAACGCCGAAGGUGUUU